rnacentral:rRNA from 1 species
GAGUUUGAUCAUGGCUCAGGAUGAACGCUAGCGGCAGGCCUAACACAUGCAAGUCGAGGGGUAACAGGGAAAAGCUUGCUUUUCCGCUGACGACCGGCGCACGGGUGCGUAACGCGUAUGCAACCUACCUUCUACAGGGGGAUAGUCCAGAGAAAUUUGGCAUAAUACCCCAUACGAUCAUUUAUUGGCAUCGAUAGAUGAGGAAAACUCCGGUGGUAGAAGAUGGGCAUGCGUCCUAUUAGUUAGUUGGUAAGGUAACGGCUUACCAAGACAUCGAUAGGUAGGGGUCCUGAGAGGGAGAUCCCCCACACUGGUACUGAGACACGGACCAGACUCCUACGGGAGGCAGCAGUGAGGAAUAUUGGACAAUGGAGGCAACUCUGAUCCAGCCAUGCCGCGUGCAGGAAGACGGCCCUACGGGUUGUAAACUGCUUUUAUACAGGAAGAAACGCCGCUACGUGUAGCGGUUUGACGGUACUGUACGAAUAAGGAUCGGCUAACUCCGUGCCAGCAGCCGCGGUAAUACGGAGGAUCCAAGCGUUAUCCGGAAUCAUUGGGUUUAAAGGGUCCGUAGGCGGUUUUUUAAGUCAGAGGUGAAAUCCUGCAGCUCAACUGUAGCAUUGCCUUUGAUACUGAAAGACUUGAGUUAUUGUGAAGUAGUUAGAAUGUGUAGUGUAGCGGUGAAAUGCAUAGAUAUUACACAGAAUACCAAUUGCGAAGGCAGAUCACUAACAAUGUACUGACGCUCAUGGACGAAAGCGUGGGGAGCGAACAGGAUUAGAUACCCUGGUAGUCCACGCCGUAAACGAUGGAUACUAACUGUUCGUCCGCCUCGGC